rnacentral:rRNA from 1 species
CCUACGGGAGGCAGCAGUGGGGAAUAUUGGACAAUGGAGGAAACUCUGAUCCAGCAAUGCCGCGUGUGUGAUGAAGGCCCUAGGGUUGUAAAGCACUUUCAUUGGUGAAGAUGAUGACGGUAACCAAAGAAGAAGCCCCGGCUAACUUCGUGCCAGCAGCCGCGGUAAUACGAAGGGGGCGAGCGUUGUUCGGAAUUACUGGGCGUAAAGGGAGCGCAGGCGGUUCAUUUAGUUAGGCGUGAAAGCCCCGGGCUCAACCUGGGAACUGCGCUUAAUACUGAUGAGCUAGAAUACAGAAGAGGAUAGUGGAAUUCCCAGUGUAGAGGUGAAAUUCGUAGAUAUUGGGAAGAACACCGGUGGCGAAAGCGGCUAUCUGGUCUGUAAUUGACGCUGAGGCUCGAAAGCGUGGGGAGCAAACAGGAUUAGAUACCCUGGUAGUCCACGCCGUAAACGAUGAUAACUAGAUGUCGGGGGGUUGCCUCUCGGUGUCGCAGCUAACGCAUUAAGUUAUCCGCCUGGGAAGUACGGUCGCAAGAUUAAAACUCAAAGGAAUUGACGG